CGAAAUUUAAAUCCACAACCAAUAUGGAGGAACAUAACUUACAGACGAAUAUGAAUUGUAAUACAAUAGGAGUAAUCUACCUCAUCACAUGUCCCUGCUCCAAACAAUAUGUAGGAAGAGAUCUUUAAAAAUUAGAGUAGCAGAACACAUUCGUAACAUCAAGAGAGGACUACAAACACACAACCUCUCAAAGCACUUCCAAGAAUUCCAUGGAGGAGAUCCCACAGGACUAAGAUUCCUG